rnacentral:sRNA from 1 species
GAAAUAAGUAUAAGUGUUGUCUAAAAACUUCUAAUCCAUCUCUAACUCUUCUAAUU